AAAAAUUAAAAAAGGAUAUAGAAUAUAAUUAUGAUGAAAAAGAUAAAAAACAAGUUCAAAAAAUAAAAUUACUUUGUAGAGAAUUACCAAAAUUGCAAUUUCCAGAUGAAAAUAGAAAAUUUAUAUAUAUAGUAGAAGCAGAUGCAAGUGAAUAUAGUUACGGAGGAGUACUUAAAUAUCGAUAUGAAGCAGAAAAAAUAGAACAUCAUUGUAGAUAUUACUCAGGUACGUUCAACGAAACAGAAAUAAAAUGGGAAAUAAAUAGGAAAGAAUUAUGUUCAUUAUAUAAAUGUUUAUUAGCAUUUGAGCCAUAUAUUGUAUAUAACAAAUUUAUUGUACGAACAGAUAAUACACAGGUACGCUGGUGGUUAACAAAGAAAAUACAAAAUUCAGUUACAACAAAAGAGAUUCGGAGACUAGUUUUGAAUAUAUUAAAUUUCACAUUUACAAUUGAAGUGAUCAGUACUAACAAAAAUGUUAUUGCAGAUUACAUAUCAAGACAAAGCUACACAGACUGAUAUAGUAGAGGAAGAUACUCUAGAAAAAAUACUUAACACCCUAACUACGCUUUCAAUGAAAGUGGACAGUAUGGGUAAUGAGAUAGAAAAGCUAAAGACUAAUGAAGAUAAACUGAAGUCUAUAGCUACAAAUCAGCUAACUCAGCAGUGUGCAGAGCUAUGUCGAUCGGAAGACAUUAAAAAUCCAGAGCUAGAAGGAGACGUUGGGACACUCCAUAAAACCCAUAACAUUUAUCAAUCUACUUCUGCAGGUACAAGCAAAGGAGUUAAUAGACUAAGAUACCGGUUGAUUCCACCAAUUAGGAUGGAAUCCACUUAAAAUAAGAAAAUCCAUUAUUUUUUUUAAUUAUAUAAUGACUAAUUAGAAUAUUUUAUUAUUUAAAAUCCAUAAAAAUACAUUUUAUAAAAAUCUUACCUUUCCAAUAGCAUAAUUGUAAAAAUUUUGAUUCAAAUUUAUCGAUUCGUAAUGUCUUCAAGAUAACAAAACUUUUGCAGUAACAAUUGUUAGCCCUUUCGGAAAAUUGAGAUGACUGAGACAUUGUAUAUGUUGAAGAAAAAAAGAAAAAUCGAGGGAAAGAUUAAGAAAGUAAUAUGAACGUAUUCAAAAAGGUGUCCAUUUAUAUAGAAGACCUGACAAAAAAUGUUAUUAUUGAAGCAUUGUACUUUUUGAACGUUGCAGCUCCAACAUAGACCGUAAAUAGUUUAUCAUCUGCCUAUUGCAUGGUGUUUUAUUGUCUACUAUGAUUGAUAGUUGACCUUAAUUUCUUAUUGUAGAUCCUUUCUUUGUACUGAUUAAAAGGUUAGAAAGGUCAAAAGUUACCGUUAGGACUUAUACUUUUGACUGUUGCACUUUGAUCGUAGACUAUGCGAAUAGUUUAUAAUAUACUAAUGCCAUUCUCAUUCUCACAAGUAAUAAAUCCUUGGUAUUAAUAAUAAGUUUGAACGUAGGUCUACAUUGAACUGUUGUCAUGAUGUAUAAUAAAUUUGACAAAUCUAUUAACAAGGAAUAUAAUAACUAUAAAAAUAAAAAAUUAAAAUAAAAUUAAAUUAAAGUAGUGUAAUUAACACUCCCCAAACAUUGUAAAAUAACUUUGUUACAACAAUUGUAAGUCAUGAUCAAAUGAGUAUUUGAAUCAUGGAAUGCUCCUAAAUAACUAAAAUAUAACAAAAAAGGUAGAAAAAUAAUAAAAUAAAAUAAAAUUAGUGGAAUGAACAUCAUUUCAAGCAUUAAAGUAACUAAAUCACAUGGUGCAGAAAUUCACAAUAAUUGAACAUGUGAUCCAAUGAGUAUUAUGAGGAGUAAAGCUGUCAAUAUGGGCUUGGCUUGUGAGGUCGGCCCAACCCAAUCCUUUAGUUAAGUGGGGUUGGACUAAGUUUUUUCAGUCCAUUUAGAAAUGAGGUUUAUAACCCCAACCUCACCUGGCCCAUCGGCCUCAGAGGUCAGCCCAUGGGCUGGGACAUUAAAAUUAAUUAUAAAUAUUUUUAAGUUGGUCAUUUAUUUAUUAGGAAUUAAAAUUUUGUCAAUCUUUUCUAACUAGCUACUUAUUUUAUUAUCCAUUGUUUAGUUGAUCCUAAUUUUUGAAAAUUUGUAGUGUGUUUGAAAUGAAUGGUAAGUUGUUUUUAGUUGUGAACUUCAAAAAGUUGCUUUUACUCGUGAUGGUUUAGUAGUUGUUGCCUUUGCUUAAUGCAAUAUUUUGUUCUUUAAAUUUAGGCUCUCUUCUGUUGUAAUCUUUCUUCUUUUAUGUAGAUACUUUGUGUAGAUCUAUAUUUAUUAUCUUAACCAUAUUAGAAUUUUUUUAUGAAAUUUGUAUCUAAUCAUCAUUUCUUUGCUUAUUACGGUAAAUGCCAUGAGCUAACUACAACUAAGGGAUUAUUUGGUGUGAGGUAUAAGGGAUAAAUAAUUCAAGAUAUAAUAAAGAGGUAUUAGUUAGUACCGGUAUUAUUUAUCACACCAUUUACAUUAUAGUAAUGAGAUAAAUUAUCUGUAUACAUAAUGAAAUAACUAAUUUCGAUAUUAAUUGUCCUAGGAUAACUCUUCCUAGGAUAUCUCUUCCCCAAUAUAACAACCCUUAAAGCUAUUAGUAAAAUGCCUAUAACAUGCUAAAAACUAGUAGAAGACAUAUUAAAGUGAAACCAUAGAAGUUGGUGAUAGUCUAGUACUUACAAUAUUUUUGUUUAUCAUGUUUCCGGUUGCUUUUAUUUUUUCUAAAGGAGUAAUCCGUCCCAACCCAUGGUCCACUUAGGGAUGGGUUGGGCCACUAUUUUAAAGGCCUUUUAGUUAAAAGGGCUAGCUCGUCCUAACCCGUUUAAUUCUCUAGCCCUCUAGGGUUGGGUUGUAUUUGGUUGGGUCAGACCAUUUUGACAGCUCUAAUGAGGAGUGAUGGUUGCAAGUAGUGUUAAGAUAUGUACUGUCUGAGAA
rnacentral:lncRNA from 1 species